GACGAACGCUGGCGGCGUGCCUAACACAUGCAAGUCGAACGGAACUGUUUUGAAAGAUUUCUUCGGAAUGAAUUUGAUUUAGUUUAGUGGCGGACGGGUGAGUAACGCGUGAGUAACCUGCCUUCAAGAGGGGGAUAACAUUCUGAAAAGAAUGCUAAUACCGCAUGACAUAUCGGAAUCACAUGAUUUUGAUAUCAAAGAUUUUAUCGCUUGAAGAUGGACUCGCGUCCGAUUAGUUAGUUGGUGAGGUAACGGCUCACCAAGACCGCGAUCGGUAGCCGGACUGAGAGGUUGAACGGCCACAUUGGGACUGAGACACGGCCCAGACUCCUACGGGAGGCAGCAGUGGGGGAUAUUGCGCAAUGGGGGCAACCCUGACGCAGCAACGCCGCGUGAAGGAUGAAGGUUUUCGGAUUGUAAACUUCUUUUAUUAAGGACGAAACUUGACGGU
rnacentral:rRNA from 1 species